GGAUAUGGCGAAAUUGGUAGACGCUA
rnacentral:tRNA from 1 species